CCGCAGGCGGUGGGAGAAGCGGGUUCGCCCGCUGCCGAAGGCGCAAUCGCCCGUAAUCGCUCAGGCUCCCAUACCACCCCUGCGAG
rnacentral:ncRNA from 1 species